rnacentral:lncRNA from 1 species
CCCGCUCAAAGUAAAACCCAAAUCAUGCGAAAGUAAGGAAGUGUUAUCUACAUCUAACUCCCGAUGUUACGUUGUCGGCCGCCAACGUAACCCUCCGCGAAGUUAGAAGCCAAACACUCCAAUCAACUCUAACUCUUUAGAGUUAUCAUAAUACCCAAUCAUGAUAUUUUCGCUCACAAGUCGAAUAGACCUCGUCUCUCACGAGCCUAUUUCCUGUAGUCCAACCGGCCUAAGGUUUGCUAGGUCCCCUAAGACUCAACCCUAGGCUCUGAUACCAAUUUAAUCUGUCACGCCCCGGGACCCAGCGGAAGCCCGCCCGGCACGUGCCCAGACCCGCCAUACGUCUAAAACAUAUAAGGCGUCUAAAAAUAACAAUAAAUAAAGCGGUAAUAAAAGACAACUAGGAGUAUCAGAGCAUGAUAUAAUACUAAAUUCUAC